GGCCUAGGUUUACGCUUGAAAAACCUUCUAUUAACAAAGAUGUAGCAACUUUUCCUACACAAUCGAGGGAGGAAACUCCUUCAAAUUUUUUAAAAGUCUGUAUGGAUUCUGGUCAAGAAAAUUUUUUAGAGCCGGUCAUUUUUCAUAAACGUGAAUUACCCCAAGAAGAUCCAGAGAUUAAGCCUAUAUCAACUCAACAUAAAGUCGGAACCCCUUUAAGUAUUAACUCUACACGCUUUUUUUCUCGAGAUUAUAAGCACGGAGGCGAACAUACUCUCAAGGAUUCUCAACAAAAUCAAAGAGAUCAUUUGCAUUUCACUUCUGUAAUAAACCAAAGAGAACAGAAAAUUUCUCUUCCCUUUCUUG